UUCUUUGGUUUGGAUGGAGGGAGUCGAGAUGGAGAGGAGAGGGUGGAUUGGGAAGAGAUUUAGGAAGCAGGGUUGGAAGAGCUCAGGAAGCCGUCAGGCCCAAUGGGGAGGGCUGGGGCAAGCUCCAGCCAUCAGCACCAAGGGCUCCAGGUUGGAGCAGGAGCCUUCGGUGGGCUGGGAGCUGCAGAGUCCAAGGGGACAGGAAACCUGCCAUGGCCGUGGGCAGUGGGUGGGUGGCCUGCAGCCUGGAACUUGGGGCAGAGAUUGGCCCCUAGUUAAAAGCUACGUUAGGCAGUGAGGGUGGUGAGACUUUGUGGGGAGACUCAUGGAGAAGAGGGGGUGCAGCAGGGCAUCUUUGUGGGAGGUUUUCCCAAGAGGAGCUGUCAAAGGAGACUAGGGUAAGGAGGCUAGGGAGUCAGAAGGUGAACUGAGGGCAAGCUGAGGGAGGACUGAAAAGGGAGGAGGGUGGUUCCCAGUGCCCACGGCUUCUGCGAGGCCAGAGGGCAGGACAAAGCCAUGAGUGAGUGCUGGCCAGAGGGAGUGCUGGGGAGAACAAGAAGCCGAGGAAGAUAGAGGCCACCAGGAGGACAGGGCUCAGGACACUGGUGGGAAAGCUGAGUGUCCAGGGGGCGUCCACAGAGGCUCUGACCUUGGCUUGACAGUGGGGGGACGAAGAAGGGAGCAGAGUGGGUGGGCAAGCUGGUGUCAGGGACAUAUGGGCUUCCUGAUAUGGCUUCCUGUUUCCUCUGAAAUGUUUGAGGUAGGUUCAGGCCAUGGGUUUCCAGGCUGAGAAUGGAGACUGGAUGAGGUUGUCACUGUCGAUGGGGUGGGAGUGUCUUUGGAGGCAUUUUUUAGUAAGUUUCUGCACCUGGAGACACAGCAGGCGCCUAACCUGCUCCCAGUAUCCACAGUGAGCCGCUAGGAAGUCCACUUGCUGAUCUGGCCACUGGGCCUGGGAAGGAUGCUCCUUUCUUGGAUCCGUCUCUGGGACAAAAGAAAUACAGGCAAAAAUAAACCUCAUUAAACUUACAAGCUUCUGCACAGCAAAGGAAACUAUUAACAAAAAUGACAAGACAGCCUACAAAAUGGGAGGAUAUAUGCCAAUGACGUGAUGAUGGGUGAAUUAUUUGAUGAAGGGCUUACAUCAUCCUCUGCCAGCCUAGUUCAGAAUCCUGGCCACCCCCCUGCUAUCUGCUGUUAGGGAGGAGAUGCAGCUUUGACAAAUGGAGAUAUUUAGCCUCAUGGAAACAUAGAGACCUAGUAUGCUAAGGCUCUACGGUGGUAAAUUCCUCGGUAAUAUCACUGUGUUUCUGCUCUAGGGUUUUACCAUGUCUAGUCAAGGGGCUCAGUGAGGCCAUCCUUGGGGAAUUGGGGCUCCCUCUGGAAGGAUGGGGAACCCUGGGUGGGGCUUCACUGUAGGCUGUCAGCUUGGCUCCUGUCUCCUCGUCCAAGCUGGGUUUUUCCUUGUGAAAAACAGGGCAGUUUGAUUAGAUGAUUUCUAAGGACACUUCCAGCUACCUGUCUUUGUAGACUCAGCCCUUGCCCCCAGAAGCUUUAACACAGGGCCCACCUUUGGUGGGUGGCGUGAGCGGAUGACCUGGCCCCGGCUGGUAGCUGGGCCUGGCUGGUGGCUGGGCUUGGACAGUGGGUUUGCUGGACAGACACUUCCUCCCAGGUCACGGCCCCCUGAGUUCCCACAGCUGAGUGUCCAGAGGUCAGGCCCUUGUGCCCAUUCUCCAGCCCUUCCCCCCAAGGCAGGCUCUCGGAAGCUCUGACCAUGCCCUUUGCCUCCCUCAGCUUUGCAGGGAGAGGCAGGGUUGGGGAGUGUUUCAGCACAGCACAAAGCUGGUUCCUGCUGGAAAAGCCUGACCCUGGUGCCUCCUCCCAUCUGUGCCUGCUCUUUCACAGCCAGAUUUCUUGAAAGCAGCAUCUACAUUUGCUGCGCCCCUACCCCCACCCUGAAUGCCCCCACCUCUGGGAGCCACUGGCUGUCUGGUCCUUGCCUUCCUGGCUGGGCCUCAUUUGCCCCCUCACUUUGGUGCCUCUCAGGCUCCUGGGUCUCACUCUGGCCCCUUAUUCCCAGCCUUUACCUUGGGUUCUGCUGCCUCUUCUGUCCUUGGGCUCGUCCUACAAGCUUUUCUGUGUUGCUUCCACGAGGAGAGAGGCAGGAGACAAGAGCACUUCGGGGAGUUGUCAUAAGCAGGUGGCUCUAAGCGUUCACAAGUGCAGGCUCGGCAGGUGAGAACAUUCUUGCUAAGAUGAUGGGUGGUGUGGAACCUGCAUGCAGUCUGGCUGCAGCACACCUGUCAGGUCACUUACUGGAUGUUGCCUACUGGAUGCCUGUCAGAGCCAACACCAUGAAUGGUUGCUUUGCGACUCUUUACUUUCCAGUGGACUUGAGGGAAGCCCGUGACAGGCUCAUCGUCUCCAAAUCAAGCGUCACUGAAACACUCAGUUGGCCAAUGGCCAGACUGCUGCCCUGCCCAGGACAGGUGGGGAAGCGGCUGUAUCCACGUGGUGCUUUGUUCAUGGACUUGCCUGCAGAUUCGUGCUUUUGAGACCCCCUUCUUGGAUUUUUGAGUGGACUUGUAUGUGUGUUUUUCAGUAGUGCGGUUCUGGGGGGAAAUGACCCAUAGCUUUCACGUUCCUCAUGGCUGUGGAAUCCCCCCAAAAACAUUAAGGCCGAAUUAGCUUUCACAAAGUGCCACUAGAGGAUGCUCGCCAGCCAGCAGCAGGGCCAGAAUCCACUCCAGCCUGCUUGACUGUACAGAAGAGGCUUAAAAUAGUUUACACACAGUUAAAAGACUUUCUGAUUCUUUCCGAUACUGUGCUCUUAGGAGUAGCAGUUAACAGCAGGGCCCCAUACUGUACUCUCAGGAGUAACAGUAAUAGUUAACAGAGUUAACAGCAGGGCUCUGCCCCCGCCCCCCAUAGUACUCUUGGGAGUAAUGGUAACAGUUAACAGCAGGCCCCCCCGGUACUGUGCUCCCAGGAGUAACAGUAAUAGUUAAUAGCGGCCCCCAUACCGUACUUUCAGGAGUAACAGUAACAGUUAACAGUGGCCAAGUUCCUUUCCCUUUGAUGUCUUGCCACUUUAUGGUAUGGAUUGGGAAAUGUUAAUUAGGAGAAUAAAAACAAAUUGCACCUACAUAUUCUGUUGGCUUUUGGACAAUGCACGUCUGGAUUUUCCUCAUGUUUGGGUUUUGUAAAAUCUAUUUUGAAUCAGUGUGAUUUAACAGGACGUCUACUUAGUAGUUACCAUCCUGGGCAAAUUUAAUGAGAUUCUGUUUCUUCAUCUGAAAAAUGGGCUCCUUCUGUCCAUUUCACAAGGCUUCUGUGAUGAUUUAGUGAGGAUGUUUGUGAAGGAACCUGGCCCAUAAGAAUGGCUAAAGAAUUUAUUAAACCAGAAUUCAAUGUGUUAAUAUCUUAAUGCUUUUCUCUAUUUUCAGGUAUUCUGUAUUAUGUAUGUCCCGAGUAAAAUCAUUUAUAUAAAAUCUUAUAAAACAGAAAGAGCCUUUUUUCUGGAAAGUUAUAACUUUCAGCUCAUCAAUAGCCAAGAAGUUCUUAUCCAACAUUCCAUCUCCACUGGAAUUAAACGUAAGAUGGAAAGCAGAAUAUAUUUUCCAACAUAGGGUGUUUAUAGCUUUGAUUUUAGGGCCAAUAAUGAUUGAAAAGCGUAUUUAACAUCUAACACUAUAAACUAGACAUUCCUGUCCAGUGGAUCAGCUUUGCCAGUUCAAGAAAAACACUAUUAAUCGUGAUAAUUUUCAACAUUAAACACACUCUUAUUAACAAGAAAACAAAAAGCUUUGUAAAUCUUCAUGUUACUCUUUGUUCCCAUGAACAUUUUCAUUUUGGUAGGAAAUCAAGUCUCGUUUUUAGCUGUUGAGCACAGCCAGCCCGGGGCUGACCCAAAAAUUCACUCAAGAGCUUUUGGACAAGUUGAGCUUCUUUCACACGUGUGUGUUGACCCCACUGCUCUGCUAGGCAUGGAAGGUUUGAUGGAUGAUUAAUUAGGGAUUUUUAUCUUAUUCCUUAUUUUUAUUUUAUCUUGUCUCAACAGGCUCUCCUUCUAAAGUUAGAAUAUAUGCGAAUGGUCCUUUUAGCACUGGAAAUGGGGAGGUGUGGUAUCCCUGACAUGUGGUUGGAACAGGCCAUGGAGGACUCUUCUUUUGGCCUCUGGGUCCCUUCCUAUGAGCGACGUGGUCACAUCCUUUAGUUGUGGGUAGAAUUCUUCUCCAGACCAGAUCACCCAGCCAUCGCUGUUGCUGUGCCUGGGCCAGGACCCUCAUGGGUCAGCUCAGGGACCACAAGAUGCUCUUCCUGGGAUGCCUCCUCUCCUCCAAAUGUCUUGUUUAAAGUGUCUGGCUCCCCAGCUCCCACCCAGGUACACUCAUGGAUGAAUCUGACCCCGCCAAUGCCCGCAUUGGACAGAUGAGCUGAAAGAGGGCCAUGUUUGCCUUUCUUGGGCAGUAAGUGCAUCCCAGACCUCCACGUCUGCAGCAUCGGAAGCAGAGGGAGAGGCAGAGGCGGGGACAGGUGGUGUGGAACUAAUUGGGUACAAAUACCAGUCCUGCUGCCAGCCUCUUGGCAGACUUCUUCUGUUGCGGACCAGAGAGUAAACACCUUCAGUCUGGCAGGCCCCAGGCUUCUGCCCCUGUUCUACUUGGUCACUGUGUGUGAACGCCGUUGUGGACAUGAUGUAGGUGCAGGAGAGGGCUAUGUCCCCAAUAAAGCUAUCUAUAAAAAUAGGUGCUGGACCCAUGGGCUGCAGCUUGCCUCCCCUACUCUGACCCAUCCCAGGAAGAGGACCACAGAGACGUGGCCACUGAAGCCCUGUCUGACAGUGGGACUUAGAGGAAAAGAGAAUGGAUGCCAGCUUCACUGUCCCCAACCCUCCCUUGGCUGUGUUGCCUCUAAAGGCCACUGGUGUCUUGUGCAGAUGCCUUCCAGGGCAGAUAGCAAAGCCGGCAUCUGAACAAGCCAGGAGCCUCCAGGUCCUCUGGCCAUGCAUGUUUUCAGACCCGAGCCUUGUCCACUGAGCGGCCCCAGGGGCCGUGUGCUUCUUUGCACAACAGGCCUUUGCCCCCCAGAAUGUUUGCAGGAGAGACUUGUUUUUUUCCCUCCCUCCCUAGCUGCACUGCAAAGUGGAUGCUCAGUGGAAAAUUCUCCAACUAACACUUAAUCGAGCGGCCCAACAGCUCAUGUUUCCUCCCAGCUGGUCUCCAGCUUUGAAGCUAAUCACAGGCACCAUGCUGGGGAGUCCGGGGUUCUUCUGUGCUUCCCCGGGACAGCCCAGGAUGUCCGGGGGUGUCUGUGGUCUGACCAUUAACAUCACCCUCUUACACACGCAGUGAUUCUGUUUGGUUGUUACGGUGAUGAAGACGGUGAGUCAAGUAUGGUAAAGGAGUUGGGUUUUGCCUCCUUGAGUGUUCAGUGGUCACAUGAUGGGAUACUGGCUGCACCCUCUUGCUGAGCACGGGAUGCUCUGGGAGGUCGGCCUUGGCCGAAACCUGAGUGCAGGGCAGCUGGAGGGAUGGACCAGACAGACUGGCCCUGGGGAUCCGCUGCAUUGCUCCAUGUUGGUCUCUAGUCCUUCCAGGGUUGCUCAGAUGGAUGGAGGCUGAGCUUAGGAACUGUAAUUGUGGCUUAAAAUCCUGGACAGUAUCUCGUACGGAUGUAUAUUUUUAUCUUGUAGAUGUUAUUUCAGUCAUCUUCACUCUUCUUUUGAUUUCUUUUUUUUUUCUUUUUUUUUUUUUUU